rnacentral:rRNA from 1 species
UACAGAGGGGGCAAGCGUUAUUCGGAAUUAUUGGGCGUAAGGGCGCGUAGGCGGCUUGGCAAGUGGAUGGUGAAAUCCCUCGGCUUAACCGAGGAACUGCCGUCCAAACUGCUUAGCUUGAGACCGGGAGAGGUGAGUGGAAUUCCCAGUGUAGCGGUGAAAUGCGUAGAUAUUGGGAGGAACACCAGUGGCGAAGGCGGCUCACUGGACCGGUACUGACGCUGAGGCGCGAAAGCGUGGGGAGCAAACGGG